ensembl:lncRNA
GGGAUAAGUGCUGCUAGCUGUGAGCUAAAUUUCUCUCAGCUAUAAAGAGUUGUUUUAUUCUGAGAUUCUGUAAAUAAAUGGGGGGGGUGUUAUUAAAACUUGUUGUGAAUCUGUUCCAGAAUGAAGCAGGUCACAUCUGGAACCUUGGAUAUCAUUUAGACUCGAACCCGUUAAGAUAGUCUGUGUGUGUGUGUGUGAGAGUGAGAUUCAUCAGUUUGAUCAGUUUCAGUCCCUUAGUUUCUCUGUGCUGCAGACAGGGUGAGUGUGCAGGGUGAGUGUGUGUGUGUUGUGUGUGAGUGUGAGUGUGUGUGAGUGUGUGUGAGUGGGAUUAGUGACUGUGGAAAGCCUGGAUUUGUGCUGGGGUUAUUUCGGUCCUCUUAUAUACGGAGAGAGAGUUAUAGCAGGUUACAGCGGCUUAUAGCAGGUUAUAGAGGCUUAUAGCAGGUUUCAAUGGCUUAUAGCAGGUUAUAGCGGCUUAUAGCAGGUUAUAGCGGCUUAUAGCAGGUUAUAGCGGCUUAUAGCAGGUUAUAGCGGCUUAUAGCAGGUUUCAAUGGCUUAUAGCAGGUUAUAGCGCCUUAUAGCAUGUUUCAACAGCUUAUAGCAGGUUACAGCGGGUUACGGCGUCUUAUAGCGGGUUACGGCGUCUUAUAGCGGGUUACGGCGUCUUAUAGCGGGUUACGGCGUCUUAUAGCUGGUUACGGCGUCUUAUGGCGGGUUACGGCGUCUUAUAGCGGGUUACGGCGGUUUACUGCGGGUCACAGUGGACAUGUUAGAGUUGCUUAUGUUGUAAAGCUGAUAAGUUUCUUUUUUUUCUUGAGUUUAAUCAUAAAAUGGAAGUGUUGCAGAUCUGCACACACACAGACUCAUGCACACACACAGAAGCAGAGAGUGUGUAACAGGAGGAAUGGGUGUGUAAAGGUGUGUUUGUGUCUAAUGGUCUUGUACUGUCAUUAUGCUAUCCAGGUAAAG